rnacentral:lncRNA from 10 species
GGGGUGCGCUGCUCGCUCCCCUCGCUCCACCUCCCGCGUAGCCUGCGGGCCCCUGGCGGCCCAGGGCAUGGGGCAGAGACGCCAUGCCGGCUGAUACACACGCCCGGAGGAGGUGCGGCCGGCGGGGGACAGGGAAAGAGAUCACAGCGAAGACCCAGAAGAAACAAAAGGCAAGCGAAUGUAAGAGCUUCACCACCUUCCCACUCCAGGACGGUGGACAACAAGAGAUUUUUAUAUCCAACUGCCUACUGGACACCAACCACGUGGACAAGUCCUGGUUGCCUCAAACUCAACAUGUUCAAAGCUGAAUACAUCACCUGCUCUCCCAAAUAUGCUCCUCUCCUGCUGUUCCCAAAAUCAGAAAAUGGCUUCACGAUCAGCUCAGUCAUCUCAAGAGCAAAUGCUGAGAGUCACCCUUGAAUCCUUCUGUUGCCUCCACAUUCAAACCAUCACCAUAUCCUUGAUUUCUCUACUGUAUAUUUUUCAUAUGUGUCCACUUCUUUCCAUCUGCACUCUCAUUAGUGAAGGCCACCAACAUCUCUCAUCUGAAUGCCUGCAAUACCUCCUCACAGGUCACCAGGCAUCUAGUUUUGCCCCUGUCCUGCCCUUCCCUCAUCUAGAGUGAAGCCAGUAGGAACCUUCCAAAAUGAAAAUCUGAUUAAGUCACUUCUUUGCUUAAAACUUUUUUAUGGUUUCACAGCCCAUGAAAAUAGUAUCCAAUGUCUUUAAGUGCAUUGCAAAACUCUUCAAGGCCUCCCUCUCCAAUCCUUCUAGUCCUCCCUCCCCAGUUUCAUCACUCAUUAUAUACCCCAUAACCUUUAUGCCAGAGUUGUCAUGAACCUCCUCCCAUUCCUUCAGUAUUUUAUGUCUUUUUGCCUUCAGGUCUUUACACAUGUUGUUCCUUCAUAUUGAAAUAUUCUUUCCUCUCCCCAUUGCCUGGUAGAUUAACUCCUGUUUAUCCUUCAGAUGUCAGCCUUAAUGUCACUCUCUCAAGGUGAACAUCCCUGAAUUCUCUGAUGCAUUACAUAGGAUACCGUUUUUAUUCUGCCAUUGUAUGUGUCACCCUUUAUUGUUAAGAAACAUUUAAAUAAGAAAUAUUUAAUUGUUAAUAAACAGUUUUAAAUAAAAAAUAUUUAUUU